rnacentral:lncRNA from 1 species
AGCAGUUGAAGAAAAACCUAAAGAACCAAAAGUUGAGGAGAAACCUAAAGAACCAGCGGCUGAGGAGAAACCCGAAGAACCAGCAGUGAAAGAAACACCUGAAGAACCAGCGGUUAAAGAGACACCUGAGGAACUAGCAGUUGAAGAGAAACCUGAAGAACCAGCAAUUGAAGAGAAACCUGAAGAACCAGUAGCUGACAAAAAACUUGAGCAACCAACAAUUGAGGAGAAACCUGAAGAAUCAAUAGUUGAAAAGACUGAAGAACCAGCAGUUGAUGAAAAAGGUGAAGAACCGUCAGUUGAAGAAAUACCUGAGGAGUCGGCAGUUGAAAAUUUUGAAGAAGCAGCAGUAGAAGAGAAACCUGAAGAACCAGCAGUUAAGGAAAAAACUGAAGAACCACCCAUUGAAG